GGCCGAGUAGCUCAGUUGGUAGAGCAGGGGAUUGAAAAUCCCCGUGUCGGCGGUUCGAUUCCGUCCUCGGCCAUCA
rnacentral:tRNA from 1 species